CACGCUGUAAACGAUGGAUACUAGGUGUGGGGGGUCUGACCCCCUCCGUGCCGCAGCUAACGCAAUAAGUAUCCCACCUGGGGAGUACGAUCGCAAGGUUGAAACUCAAAGGAAUUGACG
rnacentral:rRNA from 1 species